UUAAAAUACUUUUGAACUAUUAGAGAAAUGGUCCAAAACUAUUCUUCGUCCACCAAUUAGCUUACAAUUUUAAACUCCUAUAAUUCCCCCCUUUUUUUUAGGAGAAAUAAGAAAAAGAUGUCGGAUAAUAGAAACGCCACCCUUGAAGAGAGAUGGGAAAUGCGUAAGUUAGCUUAAUUUGGGGUGGUCGAUUUGGUGAGAGCAAUGGUGAGUAAUUAAUUAGUUUAGAUUAAUUAUCGCAUAACCAAUAGAUAAGUGACGCGUUAAUAAUGAAUUUAUUAGUGGG
rnacentral:misc_RNA from 1 species